CGGAGGGUGCAAGCGUUAUCCGGAUUCACUGGGUUUAAAGGGUGCGUAGGUGGGCAAGUAAGUCAGUGGUGAAAUCUCCGGGCUUAACCCGGAAACUGCCAUUGAUACUAUUUGUCUUGAAUACUGUGGAGGUCAGCGGAAUAUGUCAUGUAGCGGUGAAAUGCUUAGAUAUGACAUAGAACACCAAUUGCGAAGGCAGCUGGCUACACAAAUAUUGACACUGAGGCACGAAAGCGUGGGGAUCAAACAGGAUUAGAUACCCUGGUAGUCCACGCCCUAAACGAUGGAUACUCGACAUCAGCGAUACACUGUUGGUGUCUGAGCGAAAGCAUUAAGUAUCCCACCUGGGAAGUACGAUCGCAAGAUUG
rnacentral:rRNA from 1 species